rnacentral:rRNA from 1 species
CGGAGGGUGCGAGCGUUGUUCGGAAUCACCGGGCGUAAAGCGCGUGUAGCGGCCCACUAAGUCUGAUGUGAAAGCCCGGGGCUCACCCCCCGGAAGUGCAUUGGAAACUGGUGGACUCGAGUCCCGGAGAGGAGAGUGGAAUUCCUGGUGUAGCGGUGAAAUGCGUAGAUAUCAGGAGGAACACCGGUGGCGAAGGCGGCUCUCUGGACGGUGACUGACGCUGAGACGCGAAAGCGUGGGGAGCAAACAGGAUUAGAUACCCUGGUAGUCCACGCCGUAAACGAUGAGCACUAGGUGUCGCGGGUAUUGACCCCUGCGGUGCCGACGCUAACGCAUUAAGUGCUCCGCCUGGGGAAUACGGCCGCAAGGUUA